UGGGGAAUUUUGGACAAUGGGCGAAAGCCUGAUCCAGCAAUGCCGCGUGUGUGAAGAAGGCCUUCGGGUUGUAAAGCACUUUUGUCCGGAAAGAAAUGGCUCUGGUUAAUACCUGGGGUCGAUGACGGUACCGGAAGAAUAAGGACCGGCUAACUACGUGCCAGCAGCCGCGGUAAUACGUAGGGUCCAAGCGUUAAUCGGAAUUACUGGGCGUAAAGCGUGCGCAGGCGGUUGUGCAAGACCGAUGUGAAAUCCCGAGCUUAACUUGGGAAUUGCAUUGGUGACUGCACGGCUAGAGUGUGUCAGAGGGGGGUUAGAAUUCCACGUGUAGCAGUGAAAUGCGUAGAGAUGUGGAGGAAUACCGAUGGCGAAGGCAGCCCCCUGGGAUAACACUGACGCUCAUGCACGAAAGCGUGGGGAGCAAACAGGAUUAGAUACCCUGGUAGUCCACGCCCUAAACGAUGUCAACUAGUUGUUGGGGGAUUCAUUUUCCUUAGUAACGUAGCUAACGCGUGAAGUUGACCGCCUGGGGAGUACGGUCGCAAGAUU
rnacentral:rRNA from 1 species